rnacentral:rRNA from 1 species
GACGAACGCUGGCGGCGUGCUUAACACAUGCAAGUCGAACGAAGAGCGAUGGAAGCUUGCUUCUAUCAAUUUUAGUGGCGAACGGGUGAGUAACGCGUAAUCAACCUGCCCUUCAGAGGGGGACAACAGUUGGAAACGACUGCUAAUACCGCAUACGAUCUAACCUCGGCAUUGAGGAUAGAUGAAAGGUGGCCUCUACACGUAAGCUAUCACUGAAGGAGGGGAUUGCGUCUGAUUAGCUAGUUGGAGGGGUAACGGCCCACCAAGGCGAUGAUCAGUAGCCGGUCUGGGAGGAUGAACGGCCACAUUGGGACUGAGACACGGCCCAGACUCCUACGGGAGGCAGCAGUGGGGAAUCUUCCGCAAUGGACGAAAGUCUGACGGAGCAACGCCGCGUGAGUGAUGACGGCCUUCGGGUUGUAAAGCUCUGUUAAUCGGGACGAAAGGCCUUCUUGCGAAUAGGGAGAAGGAUUGACGGUACCGGAAUAGAAAGCCACGGCUAACUACGUG